UGGGGAAUUUUGGACAAUGGGCGAAAGCCUGAUCCAGCAAUGCCGCGUGUGUGAAGAAGGCCUUCGGGUUGUAAAGCACUUUUGUCCGGAAAGAAAUCCUUGGCUCUAAUACAGUCGGGGGAUGACGGUACCGGAAGAAUAAGCACCGGCUAACUACGUGCCAGCAGCCGCGGUAAUACGUAGGGUGCAAGCGUUAAUCGGAAUUACUGGGCGUAAAGCGUGCGCAGGCGGUUUGCUAAGACCGAUGUGAAAUCCCCGGGCUCAACCUGGGAACUGCAUUGGUGACUGGCAGGCUAGAGUAUGGCAGAGGGGGGUAGAAUUCCACGUGUAGCAGUGAAAUGCGUAGAGAUGUGGAGGAAUACCGAUGGCGAAGGCAGCCCCCUGGGCCAAUACUGACGCUCAUGCACGAAAAGCGUGGGGAGCAAAACAGGAUUAGAUACCCUGGUAGUCCACGCCCUAAACGAUGUCAACUAGUUGUUGGGGAUUCAUUUCCUUAGUAACGUAGCUAACGCGUGAAGUUGACCGCCUGGGGAGUACGGUCGCAAGAUUAAAACUCAAAUGAAUUGACGGGGUCAUAGCUGUUUCCU
rnacentral:rRNA from 1 species